CCAAAUCGAAGACAUCCUGUUUCAUUUUUUAUUUGGUUUAAUUUUGAUCAAACUUAAUGAAAUACCUUCCUGUUCUCUUUGGGUCUUGUUCAUCAUUUGAGAAAACCAUAAAAAUGUUUUUGUCUGUUUAACCAUAUUUGUUAAGCAUGAUAGAUCUUUCCAUUUCUGGGCCUGGUUGAAAGCAUAGCAUUGAGUAUCAUAUCAAUGAUUUCCAGUCCUAAUGAUGAGUCUCCAGCAAAUGUUAAAGCUGCAAAGGAAUGGAGAGAGAGGAGAGGUGAAUUCAAGAAAAAAGUUAACCACUGUGUGAGAAAAUCACAAGAAAUGUUAUGAUGUUUCACCAAUGUUCCCUCACUAUUCGUGUGUGCCAAAGAAUGUGUUGAGAAAAUCACACCCACACAAAAUAAAGAAUACAAAAUUUAAUGUG